rnacentral:misc_RNA from 1 species
UAUAUGUAAGACAAACUGUCUGAUUAUGAAGUGAAUGUGAGAGAUUUGUCCAUGUCAUCACGAGUAAAAGUUUUAUUUGUGGUGAUGUGGAUAAAUCUUAUACGUCAAUUUGUUUUAUCAUUUUUAGGUAUGCACUACAU